UGGGCCCGACGUUUGAUCAUGGCUCAGAUUGAACGCUGGCGGCAUGCCUUACACAUGCAAGUCGAACGGCAGCACGGGGGCAACCCUGGUGGCGAGUGGCGAACGGGUGAGUAAUACAUCGGAACGUGUCCUGUAGUGGGGGAUAGCCCGGCGAAAGCCGGAUUAAUACCGCAUACGAUCUACGGAAGAAAGCGGGGGAUCUUCGGACCUCGCGCUAUAGGGGCGGCCGAUGGCAGAUUAGCUAGUUGGUGGGGUAAAGGCCUACCAAGGCGACGAUCUGUAGCUGGUCUGAGAGGACGACCAGCCACACUGGGACUGAGACACGGCCCAGACUCCUACGGGAGGCAGCAGUGGGGAAUUUUGGACAAUGGGGGCAACCCUGAUCCAGCAAUGCCGCGUGUGUGAAGAAGGCCUUCGGGUUGUAAAGCACUUUUGUCCGGAAAGAAAACCUCUUGGUUAAUACCUGAGGGGGAUGACGGUACCGGAAGAAUAAGCACCGGCUAACUACGUGCCAGCAGCCGCGGUAAUACGUAGGGUGCGAGCGUUAAUCGGAAUUACUGGGCGUAAAGCGUGCGCAGGCGGUCUGUUAAGACCGAUGUGAAAUCCCCGGGCUUAACCUGGGAACUGCAUUGGUGACUGGCAGGCUUUGAGUGA
rnacentral:rRNA from 1 species